rnacentral:rRNA from 1 species
UAGGGAAUCUUCCGCAAUGGACGAAAGUCUGACGGAGCAACGCCGCGUGAGUGAAGAAGGAUUUCGGUUCGUAAAACUCUGUUGUUAGGGAAGAAAAAAUGUAUAGUAACUAUAUACAAAAGAGACGGUACCUAACCAGAAAGCCACGGCUAACUACGUGCCAGCAGCCGCGGUAAUACGUAGGUGGCAAGCGUUGUCCGGAAUUAUUGGGCGUAAAGCGCGCGCAGGUGGUUUAGAAAGUCUGAUGUGAAAGCCCACGGCUCAACCGUGGAGGGUCAUUGGAAACUAAUAAACUUGAGUGCAGGAGAGAAAAGUGGAAUUCCUAGUGUAGCGGUGAAAUGCGUAGAGAUUGGGAGGAACACCGGUGGCGAAAGCGGCUUUUUGGCCUGCAACUGACACUGAGGCGCGAAAGCGUGGGGAGCAAACAGG